rnacentral:sRNA from 1 species
CAUCCUCGGCCUGUUGCGGGCAGAUGAAGUGGAUAUGCGCAUCCAUCCCGCCAGCGGUGACGAUGCGGCCUUCGCCCGCGAUGAUGUCGGUCGCCGGACCGAUGGGGAUGGUGACGCCGGGUUGCGUGUCGGGGUUGCCCGCCUUGCCGAUGGCCGCGAUCAACCCGCCCCGCAGGCCGAUGUCGGCCUUGUAAAUGCCGGUAUGAUCGACGAUCAGCGCAUUGGUAAUCACCGUGUCCGGUGUGCCAUCUGCCCGUGUCAGCUGGCUUUGUCCCAUACCGUCACGGAUG